UGCAGUCGAACGGUGAACCGGAGCUUGCUCUGUGGGAUCAGUGGCGAACGGGUGAGUAACACGUGAGCAACCUGCCCCUGACUCUGGGAUAAGCGCUGGAAACGGCGUCUAAUACUGGAUAUGUGACGUGACCGCAUGGUCUGCGUCUGGAAAGAUUUUUCGGUUGGGGAUGGGCUCGCGGCCUAUCAUCUUGUUGGUGAGGUAAUGGCUCACCAAGGCGUCGACGGGUAGCCGGCCUGAGAGGGUGACCGGCCACACUGGGACUGAGACACGGCCCAUACUCCUACGGGAGGCAGCAGUGGGGAAUAUUGCACAAUGGGCGCAAGCCUGAUGCAGCAACGCCGCGUGAGGGAUGACGGCCUUCGGGUUGUAAACCUCUUUUAGCAAGGAAGAAGCGAAAGUGACGGUACCUGCAGAAAAAGCGCCGGCUAACUACGUGCCAGCAGCCGCGGUAAUACGUACGGCGCAAGCGUUAUCCGGAAUUAUUGGGCGUAAAGAGCUCGUACGCGGUUUGUCGCGUCUGCUGUGAAAUCCGGAGGCUCAACCUCCGGCCUGCAGUGUGUACGGGCAGACUAGAGUGC
rnacentral:rRNA from 1 species